rnacentral:lncRNA from 1 species
GGCACAAAAUUCUAUGACAUUGACUAUUGUUGCGUUAUAUAAGCAUAAAACAAAUUUUUAAUCAAUCAUUAAGCUGUCGCCCUUUACCAUAAAAAGAUUGUACAUUUGUCACGGUUCAAACGUUACAAGUUUUUAGUAGCUACCGUUAGCUCGCUAACAUAAGGCUGUCGGCCACCAAGCUAACUUUACUGUACAAGUGUAACGUUAACUAUUGUACUUAGCUAUGUUAGAAUAAGUACCUACGGUUUGUUGACAACUUAAAACUCUGGAAAAGUAUUACUCGCCCAAUACAGAUUAGACAUUACCUAACUAGUUGUUGGCUCCACCUAGUGCAACACAAAGAUAAGAAAAACCUUUAUUGAUCUCACAAUUCACUUGUUACAUUCAGCUCUCAAGAAAACACUCAGGGUGUGCAGAAUAGACAGGAAACGUGCGAACAAUUAAAUAGUAAAUAUAGGAGGUAUCUUAUACAGUGACUACCAGACUUCAGGGGGCAAAAAGUAUAAACAAUAAAAAAAUAAACAUACUAUAAUAAAAAAAAGUUAGCAGUGCAGGCUUACAGUCAGAGUGCACUACAAAGCUUUGCCUCUUAGCAUUGUUAAGAGUAUUUUGUGAGGGUUAGCAAAGUUGAUUUCACUCAGGUACACGUUGAGGGACAGGAAGUGAAGGCAAGUUCUUGCUCUUGUGCCAUCGGGAGGUCCAAGUGCCACCAUGUUGCAGCCCUCCUCAUUUGGGCUGAGAAGAACUUCACCCGCACGGAUGUCGAGUGUAUGUGGAAGAGGCCCACGACACCCAAAACAGAGGAAAUCACGGCCAAGAAAGUGUCUGUGAUUGCACCUUCCACAUCACAAGCUGGAAUUAAACGCCCUGUCACCCCGGAGGACAUAGAAUGGGCAUCGUCAUCUCUGGCACAGCUUGACCGUUUUACAGGUCUGGGUUGGAUAUUAGCUCCAGAACCUCCUGCACUGCCUCAGGUUUGACUUGUGUUUUGUGUUUUGUUGUUUCAUGUCCUGCUUUAUCAGAAACUUCACAUGUACACAACAUUAAAUCAGUUACAAAGAUUGACGAUAUCCCUAGUAAGAUGGUAAAUUUAGUUUGACAUAUCCACAGAUUUAAACCAUUGCAAAUCAGACAUAAACCUGUUCAGACUUUAAUUUUAACUUUAUUUAUACCGCGCAUUUCGUACACAAGGCAACUCAAUAUAUGUAUGUCUGUGAACAAUGUUGACAUGAAGGGAUCUAAUUGUUGUUAUUCUGAUUCAAUGAUAUUUGUUGGGACAGACUUU